GACAGAGGCCUCAAGCGUUAGGCGGAAUCACUGGGCUUAAAGCGUGUGUAGGCGGGUCGUUAAGUACCUUGUGAAAUCCCACGGCUCACCCGUGGAACUGCUGGGUAUACUGGCGAUCUUGGGCCAUUCAGGGGCAACUGGAACAAGCGGUGGAGCGGUGAAAUGCGUAGAUAUCCGGAGGAACACCGGUGGCGAAGGCGGCUUCCUGGACCGACAUUGACGCUGAGGCGCGAAAGCUAGGGGAGCAAACGGG
rnacentral:rRNA from 1 species